rnacentral:rRNA from 1 species
AGUGAACGCUGGCGGCAGGCCUAACACAUGCAAGUCGAGCGGCAGCGCGGGGCAACCUGGCGGCGAGCGGCGGACGGGUGAGGAAUGCAUCGGAAUCUACCCUGUCGUGGGGGAUAACGUAGGGAAACUUACGCUAAUACCGCAUACGACCGAGAGGUGAAAGUGGGGGACCGCAAGGCCUCACGCGAUUGGAUGAGCCGAUGCCGGAUUAGCUAGUUGGUGGGGUAAAGGCCCACCAAGGCGACGAUCCGUAGCUGGUCUGAGAGGAUGAUCAGCCACACUGGGACUGAGACACGGCCCAGACUCCUACGGGAGGCAGCAGUGGGGAAUAUUGGACAAUGGGCGCAAGCCUGAUCCAGCCAUGCCGCGUGUGUGAAGAAGGCCUUCGGGUUGUAAAGCACUUUUGUUUGGGAAGAAAUCGUGCGGAUUAAUACUUCGUACGGAUGACGGUACCGAAAGAAUAAGCACCGGCUAACUUCGUGCCAGCAGCCGCGGUAAUACGAAGGGUGCAAGCGUUACUCGGAAUCACUGGGCGUAAAGCGUGCGUAGGCGGCUGGUUAAGUCUGCUGUGAAAGCCCUGGGCUCAACCUGGGGAACUGCAGUGGAUACUGGCUAGCUAGAGUGUGAUAGAGGAUGGUGGAAUUCCCGGUGUAGCGGUGAAAUGCGUAGAGAUCGGGAGGAACACCAGUGGCGAAGGCGGCCAUCUGGAUCAACACUGACGCUGAGGCACGAAAAGCGUGGGGGAGCAAACAGGAUUAGAUACCCUGGUAG